CAGUCUUUCCAUUCCCCUACACUGGUGGAACUCCAAAACCAGCGAAUGCACAAGCAGUUGGACAGUGGUGGGUUCCAAAACCUUCAACUAUAGAAGAGCAACUGAAGGACAACUUCCAGUGGAAGACUUCCACUAUGUGUGUGGUUAAGUGGGGUUGGCUGGCUGCUCCUUGAUUCAAACUGGUGGGUCAUGCUUUUGCCCUAACACUACCAUCAACCAUGCCUCUGUGGUCAUGAAUAUAUAUUACCAGGCUCAUGUUGGUUCAGAAACAGUGGUCUUAUCGCCAUUACUGAUCCAAGCUAUGGUAAUUGCAAAUUUGGGGUUUGAUCGGUGGAUAUAUGGAAGGUGAAGCAGCAUCGUGAAAUUAACACAGUUUCUUCCAAUUUCAAAAAUGUUAUUUGUCUUGCUAUGUCCAACAAUACUCCCUCCAUGUUAAAAUAAGUAUUAAAUUAGCCAAAAAAAAAAAUCCAAAAUAAGUGUCACCUUAAGAAUUCAAGACAAAAAUUAACAAGUGUUUCCAACUAUGCCCUUAGCAUUAAAGAAAUAAAGCUCUUUAAUAUUGCUUAAUUCUCAAAAAGCAUCUAAUAAUUAGAGUUAGUUUAGUAAACUUCACAUUGUAUUUAUUGAUUUCUCAUGAACAUGAUUUUUGCUAAGAUGACACUUAUUUUGGUCAUCUUUACUUUCCUGUUAUGUUUGUUUCCUUUAAAGUUGUUCAUGUGCCAUAAUGCAAAAAAGGAAAACGGAAUUGUUCGAAUUCUCAAUUUUUCUUACCCUUAUAUAUAUAUUGU